UAAGUCCAAUAACCUCUGCAUCCUCGAA
rnacentral:sRNA from 1 species